rnacentral:lncRNA from 1 species
GAGGUUGAGGAAUAGAGUAGUCGAAAUCAUCUGUUUCUAUGGGUAUUUCUUGAUUUUUUGCUUUUCUUUUCUUCUCAUUUGAAGGGGUUUUUCAAUCACUUUUCCAUUGAUUAUCUCAAAUCUCAUUCCAACUAAUACUGUUUUUCCUAUUUUUGUUACGUCUUCUAUGUAAUCUUCUUCUCUGAAAUUGAAUUUGGUUUUUCCAUAAUCUUUGUGACCAGACUUAUGUAACGUAGAAAUACUUCAUUUUUCUUGCUUCGUGUCAUAUACUUGAUUACUUGAUCUUCCCAGUUUACCUUAAUCUCUUUC